rnacentral:rRNA from 1 species
UACGGAGGGGGCAAGCGUUGUUCGGAAUUACUGGGCGUAAAGGGCGCGCAGGCGGCUGCUCAAGUCAGGCGUGAAAGGCCUGGGCUCAACCCGGGAAUUGCGCUUGAGACUGGGCUGGCUUGAGUGCGGGAGAGGAUGGUGGAAUUCCCAGUGUAGAGGUGAAAUUCGUAGAUAUCUGGAGGAACACCGGUGGCGAAGGCGGCGUUCUGGACUGCUACUGACACUGAGGAACGAAAGCCAGGGGAGCAAACGGG